GAUGAACGCUGGCGGCGUGCUUAACACAUGCAAGUCGAACGAAGCACUUUUAUUUGAUUUCUUCGGAAUGAAGAUUUUUAGUGACUGAGUGGCGGACGGGUGAGUAACGCGUGGGUAACCUGCCUCAUACAGGGGGAUAACAGUUGGAAAUGACUGCUAAUACCGCAUAAGACCACAGUACCGCAUGGUGCAGGGGUAAAAACUCCGGUGGUAUGAGAUGGACCCGCGUCUGAUUAGGUAGUUGGUGGGGUAACGGCCUACCAAGCCGACGAUCAGUAGCCGGACUGAGAGGUUGAACGGCCACAUUGGGACUGAGACACGGCCCAG
rnacentral:rRNA from 1 species